AGUUCGGUUAAGUCCGGCAACGAGCGCAACCCACAUCUUUAGUUGCCAGCAUUCAGUUGGGCACUCUAUAGAAACUGCCCGUGAAUAAGCCGGGAGGAAGGUGUGGAUGACGUCAAGUCCUCAUGGCCCUUACGGGUUGGGCUACACACGUGCUACAAUGGCAUCUACAAUGGGUUAAUCUCCAAAAGAUGUCUCAGUUCGGAUUGGGGUCUGCAACUCGACCCCAUGAAGUCGGAAUCGCUAGUAAUCGCGUAACAGCAUGACGCGGUGAAUACGUUCCCGGGCCUU
rnacentral:rRNA from 1 species